CCGUCAGCUGAUUGUCAACAACAGUACUUGUUUCAGUUAAUUUAACAAGACAAACAAUACCAAGGAGCUAUGAAUCAAUGAAUACUCGAGGAUGUACUACAGCAGUAUUACAAGGUACAUGUAUGGGCAGAGGAGUUGACUAUUGAUAAUGACUGAUACUGGAAUUAAUGAAGUAACCUACAUGUAGUGUCCAAUCUCUAUGUGGAGAUUGCCUAUCAGACAGUCCAUUUUUACAUGUACCAAAAAAUAAUUAGCUCCCCAGAUGUAAGUGGAAGUGAAGUUAUACAUGUUAUAUGUUUCGAUGAAAUGAAUGACUUGAUUAGAGAUACAUGUAGUGGAGACCCUAUAGAUACAGUACAUGUAACUGGAACUGUAGGAAGUAUUCAAAGAGUCUGAUUGCUAAGUAUGCAUUACAGGAUUUUAUCAUUGGAGCAACAUCUUGGGAGGAGAAGUGCAAAUGUAUGAAGGAAUCCUUGGGUAGAAAUAGCAAUUAUAUGCAGAAGAAGACUCUUAAACAUUAUUAACAGACAUGUAGUCAUAGUAGUGGUGUUUUCAAGAAAUGUAAACCAACUGGAAUUAACAAUUGUGUAUAUUUUUUCAACCACAAGUACUUUCAGAAUAUAAUACAAUUCAAAUUCAAAUUAUUGUGUCAACAUACAAGUUACAGUAAAAAAAUGAAAAUG